GACGAACGCUGGCGGCGUGCCUAAUACAUGCAAGUAGAACGCUGAAGGAGGAGCUUGCUUCUCUGGAUGAGUUGCGAACGGGUGAGUAACGCGUAGGUAACCUGCCUGGUAGCGGGGGAUAACUAUUGGAAACGAUAGCUAAUACCGCAUAAGAGUAGAUGUUGCAUGACAUUUGCUUAAAAGGUGCAAUUGCAUCACUACCAGAUGGACCUGCGUUGUAUUAGCUAGUUGGUGGGGUAACGGCUCACCAAGGCGACGAUACAUAGCCGACCUGAGAGGGGGGUCGGCCACACUGGGACUGGGACACGGCCCAGACUCCUACGGGAGGCAGCAGUAGGGAAUCUUCGGCAAUGGACGGAAGUCUGACCGAGCAACGCCGCGUGAGUGAAGAAGGUUUUCGGAUCGUAAAGCUCUGUUGUAAGAGAAGAACGAGUGUGAGAGUGGAAAGUUCACACUGUGACGGUAUCUUACCAGAAAGGGACGGCUAACUACGUG
rnacentral:rRNA from 1 species